rnacentral:rRNA from 1 species
UGCGAGCACGACAGGUUAAUCCGAGUGGUUUCUGCUAAAGGAACCUUUUGUUAGUCCUAGAAACACUAACGAAUAAGGGGUGGGCAAGUUCUGGUGUCAGCCGCCGCGGUAAAACCAGCACCUCAAGUGGUCAGGAUGAUUAUUGGGCCUAAAGCAUCCGUAGCCGGCUCUGUAAGUUUUCGGUUAAAUCUGUACGCUCAACGUACAGGCUGCCGGGAAUACUGCAGAGCUAGGGAGUGGGAGAGGUAGACGGUACUCGGGAGGAAGUGGUAAAAUGCUUUGAUCUCUCGAUGACCACCUGUGGCGAAGGCGGUCUACCAGAACACGUCCGACGGUGAGGGAUGAAAGCUGGGGGAGCAAACCGGAUUAGAUACCCGGGUAGUCCCAGCUGUAAACUAUGCAAACUCAGUGAUGCAUUGGCUUGUGGCUAAUGCAGUAUUGCAGGGAAGCCGUUAAGUUUGCCGCCUGGGAAGUACGUACGCAAGUAUGAAACUUAAAGGAAUUGGCGGGGGAGCAC